CUUGGAUCGGCAUUAUCUUGCUGGUACUUCUGAUAUUGGCAGCCGUUAGCAUUGUUUUCUAUCGGUCACUCUCGCGCGAUACUCGGCGAAGAUUGAACGCUAGGCUGCCCACGUUAACGCAACCGGCACAGGGUAAUAAUCGCGUGGACAGAGUCCUUUAAACCGUAAUCACCUUCGCAAGCGAUAUCCCGAGCGAGGCACGUCCUAAAAAAAGGUCGUCUUUUUGAACCUGCAGACCGCGAAGAGCAAAAGAGACGCGAAACAGAAUUUUCCUGCGGAAUUUAUCCUAUUUUCCGAGCUGACCGCCGAAAACGAUAGGCAAUAUGUUUUCUGCGACGGAUGCGACGGUUUCACGUCUGGAACUGAUAAUAACAGGGGUUGCGUACGCGACGAAAGUAGAAACAAAGGUAUCAUAGAGUUUUUAGCGGAAAAGAAGACCAAUGUCGGCACGAACAUGUCCGGAACAACUAUGUCCCGAUCGACAGCCACCUAAAUCGAGAAUUGAAUGCAAUGAAAAAUGUCAAAGAAUAUUUGAUACUAUUAAGAAUACAUUAAAAUUGAUAAGAAAGAAAGGUAGAACGUAAUCGUGGCGGAGUUAAUUGUUAAUUAGGAAUGAUCCAAGGAAUUGCAUAAAAUUGAGAUUCAGUUAUACUCGUUAAUGAGGAGGAUGUGAAUUUUUCGGUUCGAAAGCUGUAAUCGGAGUACGGAAUAUGUAGAAAAUAUGGAAGUUCGUUGGUUUCACGUGUGAAGAAAAUAAAAUAUACUGUGAAGCUUUUUGUGGAAUAUAUAGAGGUGUGAAUAAUUAUAGGUUUGGAAGGUAGAUACUUAAUAUUUUAAUAAAUAAUCAAAUAAAGUAAUCAAAAUCCUUGAGAAUAAUUUUUAUUGUUUUUGAUAUAGAAUCUAAUAAUACACAUCUAUUAUAGUUAAACUACGCUUAUGAGAAACAACUUUGAACCUACAAUUGUUCACGCCACUGUAUAUUUGUAUAGCAAUCAUCAUCUUUUAGUAUAAUUGUAUACGGUGUUGUAAAAAAAUGUUUGCGAAUCAUCCUUUUAAAAUGUGAAACUGUUGGUAGAUGGAGAAUAACGAAAAUUUGAUAUUGCUCCGUGAAAGAAAUUUAUGUAAUUUUAUACGGACGAAGAAACAGAGUGUGAAAAUAAAAUGAAAGUAUUCUAAAUAUUUAUUUUCAAGAGAAUUAAACUGAAGUAAUAAAAUUUGUAUUUACUCCACUAUUAUGCUUUCGGUCGAUGAAGUAGGUUAAUCGUAUAAAUUUAAUUAAUGAACAUAUAAAAUUGAACCACCGUAUAUAUUUUUUUCGUCACAGAAAACAUUUGCGAAACGAUCCUGAUACAAAAUAUUGGCAGGUUCCAGUGUAAAUUUCAAAGUACAAAAUUAUUCGUGACUAUACAAACGAAAGAAAUCAAAAUCAUUGAUUCUGCAAAUGAGUAUUUGAGGCAGAGUUAAUAAAUCAUGACAUGUGUUA